GACGAACGCUGGCGGCGUGCCUAAUACAUGCAAGUCGAACGAGAGCGACCGGUGCUUGCACUGGUCAAUCUAGUGGCGAACGGGUGUGUAACACGUGGGUAACCUGCCCAUCAGAGGGGGAUAACAUCCGGAAACGGAUGCUAAAACCGCAUAGGUCUUCGAGCCGCAUGGCUUGAAGAGGAAAAGAGGCGCAAGCUUCUGCUGAUGGAUGGACCCGCGGUGCAUUAGCUAGUUGGUGAGGUAACGGCUCACCAAGGCGGUGAUGCAUAGCCGACCUGAGAGGGUGAUCGGCCACAUUGGGACUGAGACACGGCCCAAACUCCUACGGGAGGCAGCAGUAGGGAAUCUUCCGCAAUGGACGCAAGUCUGACGGAGCAACGCCGCGUGAGUGAAGAAGGUUUUCGGAUCGUAAAACUCUGUUGUUAGAGAAGAACAAGUGCUAGAGUAACUGUUAGCGCCUUGACGGUAGCUAAGCAGAAAGCCACGGCUAACUACGUG
rnacentral:rRNA from 1 species